CCGCGUGAGCGAGGACGGCCUUCGGGUUGUAAGCUCUGUCAUGUGGGAAGAACGGCUAAGGGAGGGAAUGCCCUUAGCGUGACGGUACCACAGGAGGAAGCCCCGGCUAACUACGUGCCAGCAGCCGCGGUAAUACGUAGGGGGCAAGCGUUGUCCGGAAUGAUUGGGCGUAAAGGGCGCGCAGGCGGUCUCUUAAGUCUGAUGUGAAAGGCCACGGCUCAACCGUGGGAUGGCAUUGGAAACUGGGGGACUUGCGUUCAGGAGAGGAGAGCGGAAUUCCCGGUGUAGCGGUGAAAUGCGUAGAGAUCGGGAAGAACACCAGUGGCGAAGGCGGCUCUCUGGCCUGACACGGACGCUGAGGCGCGAAAGCGUGGGGAGCGAACAGGAUUAGAUACCCUGGUAGUCCACGCCGUAAACGAUGAGUGCUAGGUGUUAGGGGUUUCAAUACCCUUAGUGCCGCAGUUAACACAUUAAGCACUCCGCCUGGGGAGUACGGCCGCAAGGCUGAAACUCAAAGGAAUUGACGGGGGCCCGCACAAGCGGUGGAGCAUGUGGUUUAAUUCGAAGCAACGCGAAGCACCUUACCAGGGCUUGACAUCCUCUGCUAGCUCUAGAGAUAGAGCGUUCCCUUUUGGGACAGAGUGACAGGUGGUGCAUGGUUGUCGUCAGCUCGUGUCGUGAGAUGUU
rnacentral:rRNA from 1 species